rnacentral:rRNA from 1 species
UACGGGGGGGGCAAGCGUUGUUCGGAAUUACUGGGCGUAAAGGGCUCGUAGGUGGCCAACUAAGUCAGACGUGAAAUCCCUCGGCUUAACCGGGGAACUGCGUCUGAUACUGGAUGGCUUGAGUUUGGGAGAGGGACGCGGAAUUCCGGGUGUAGCGGUGGAAUGCGUAGAGAUCCGGAAGAACACCGGUGGCGAAGGCGGCCUGCUGGGCAGUAGCUGACGCUGAUGCGCGACAGCGUGGGGAGCAAACAGG